GAUGAACGCUGGCGGCGUGCUUAACACAUGCAAGUCGAGCGAGAAGUUUUGAAAAGAUUCUUCGGAUGAAAUUUAAAAUGGAAAGCGGCGGACGGGUGAGUAACGCGUAGGCAACCUGCCCCAUACAAAGGGAUAGCAUUUGGAAACGAAUAUUAAUACCUUAUGAAACUUAACUAGUGCAUGCUAGGUAGGUCAAAGAUUUAUCGGUAUGGGAUGGGCCUGCGUCUGAUUAGCUAGUUGGUGAGGUAACGGCUCACCAAGGCGACGAUCAGUAGCCGACCUGAGAGGGUGAACGGCCACAUUGGAACUGAGACACGGUCCAAACUCCUACGGGAGGCAGCAGUGGGGAAUAUUGCACAAUGGGGGAAACCCUGAUGCAGCAACGCCUCGUGAACGAUGAAGGCCUUUGGGUCGUAAAGUUCUGUUCUAGGUGAUGAAAACUGACAGUAACCUAGGAGAAAGCCCCGGCUAACUCCCUGCCAGCAGCCGCGGUAAUACGGAGGGGGCAAUUGUUAUCCGGAAUUAUUGGGCGUAAAGGGCCGUAGGUGGCCUUUUAAGCGUAUGGUAUAAGGGAAUGGCUCAACCAUUGUUCGCCCUAUGAACUGUUAGGCUUGAGUGCAGGAUAGGAGA
rnacentral:rRNA from 1 species